rnacentral:misc_RNA from 1 species
AUUUGAAAGUUUUGAAUAUUAUUCAAUACAUAUGUUUGAUUUGCAGUAAAACUGUAUAUGAGGGAUAUUAGUGUUAAAUACUGUGUUUGACAUGGUAAUUAUUUAUUUUGUUUUGAAAAACUUGAGAAAUAUGAGCUUGAUUCAUUUUAAUUAUAUUUUUCUACUGUAAGAGAGAGAGAGAGAGAGAGAGAGAGAGAGAGAGAGAGAUGUGCAAAAUUAAAUAAUAAUGUGUGCAAGUUAGCAAGACUUUAAGUCUUAAAAUAAAGAUACAUACAAUGUGUAUUAUUUAUACAUGUGAAUGAAAAAUGUGUACUUUGUGUACAUGAAAUAAAUGCAUAAUUUACAC